GAUUAUGGCUCAGAAUGAACGCUGGCGGCAUGGAUUAGGCAUGCAAGUCGAACGGGCCCUUCGGGGACUAGUGGCGCAGGGGUGAGUAACACGUGAGCAACCUGCCCCCGAAUCCGGAAUAAUCCAGGGAAACUUGGUCUAAAACCGGAUGUCGGCGUUUACCCGCAUGGGUUUCCGCCGAAAUAUUCAUAGUUCGGGGAUGGGCUCGCGUCCCAUUAGCUAGUUGGCGGGAUAACAGCCCACCAAGGCGACGAUUGGUAGCCGGAUUGAGAGAUUGAUCGGCCACAUUGGAACUGAGAUACGGUCCAAACUCCUACGGGAGGCAGCAGUGGGGAAUAUUGGGCAAUGGAGGAAAAACCUCUUACCCAGCAAUGCCGCGUGAGUGAAGAAGGUCUUCGGAUUGUAAAGCUCUUUGAUUGGGGACGAAUAAAUGACGGUACCCAAGGAACAAGCCCCGGCUAACUAUGUGCCAGCCGCCGC
rnacentral:rRNA from 1 species